rnacentral:lncRNA from 1 species
UUCUUUGCACCAUGUCUCUAGCAUGCAUUAACACUAAUUUUUUUAUUACCCGACCUCAGAUAGUUGUGACUUCUACAUAAGUCCAAUUACGAUUGCUUAACAUAGAGCUAAAUCUGUCCCAAAAGGCAUAAUAUUCUUGUAAGUGAUAUUGUAUGCCUCUCGUUCUUCAUGGCAUUGUGUGAAGACUUGACCUUUUUUCCAUUUAUGGGAGUUAGUGGCAUACUUGUUGAUUUAUCCAAGUUGGAGCUCUUCUGAUAGAUCAUGUCUUGGUUCAUGUCUUCAUACUUGUAAAUGAAUGAUUGAGUGUUCUCCAAGGAAUGACUUAAACAAUUAAGUCCUUCAUUAACAUUUGACUAACAUUUUCUCAUUAUUGCUUUACUUUUAUGCCAUUUACUUAAUGCAAUUUAAACUUUAGCACCUUUAUCAUUCAUUUGCAUUUACAUUUCAUGUAACUUGUUUAUGUUUCAGUCCUUUUCACUUUGCUCAUUUGAGCCAUAUCUUUGGGAUUGUGUAUAUUGUGCUUGUGAUUUUUGUUCUGUUUGUGGUCUUAGUACCUUAAAAUACUUAAUAAACAACAAAAAUCCUAAAAAAUAUGUUGAUGGACUAUUGGACCCCUGCCUUGGAUUG